UUGUCUCAAAGAUUAAGCCAUGCAUGUCUCAGUACAAACUAAAUUAAAGUGAAACCGCGAAAGGCUCAUUAAAUCAGUUAUGGUUCCUUAGAUCGUACCACAAUUACUUGGAUAACUGUGGUAAUUCUAGAGCUAAUACAUGCAAACAGAGUUCUAACCGGAGACGGGAGGAAUGCUUUUAUUAGAACAAAACUAAUUGUGUCAUCCCUUAUGGCUCCAUAUGAUUCUGUAUCUUUGCAUACGUUCAUAUGUCCUGGGUGUAUGUACACAUAAUAUAAUUGGUGAAUCUGAAUAACUUGCUGAUCGCAUGGUCUUGUACCGGCGACGCAUCUUUCAAAUGUCUGCCUUAUCAACUUUCGAUGGUAGGAUCUGCGCCUACCAUGGUUGUAACGGGUAACGGGGAAUCAGGGUUCGAUUCCGGAGAGGGAGCUUGAGAAACGGCUACCACAUCCAAGGAAGGCAGCAGGCGCGCAAAUUACCCACUCCCGGCACGGGGAGGUAGUGACGAAAAAUAACGAUACGGGACUCAUCCGAGGCCCCGUAAUCGGAAUGAGUACACUUUAAAUCCUUUAACAAGGAGCAACUGGAGGGCAAGUCUGGUGCCAGCAGCCGCGGUAAUUCCAGCUCCAGUAGCGUAUAUUAAAGUUGUUGCGGUUAAAAAGCUCGUAGUUGAAUUUGUGUCUUGCGCUGUUGGUUCAUCGCUGUUUGCGGUGUUUAACUGGCACGUUGUGAGACGUCUUGCCGGAAGAGCAUGGUAUAUGUUUUAUUUGCGUCUGCAUGAUAUGCACUAUAAUAUGAUUAUUUUCAUAUAUAUUUGUUUAAUAGCGGUAUAUAUAUUAUAUGAUUAUUAUUAGUUGUUAUAUUGUGUUUUGACCUGAUUAAAACGUGUACGUAGCUCGACUUUUUAAAAUCCUGUCUAGGUGCUCUUAAUUGAGUGUCGUGGCGGGCCGGUACGUUUACUUUGAACAAAUUAGAGUGCUUAAAGCAGGCUUAUGUUGCCUGAAUAUAGUGUGCAUGGAAUAAUGAAACAGGACCUCGGUUCUAUUUUGUUGGUUUUCUGAACUGAACGAGGUAAUGAUUAAUAGGGACAGAUGGGGGCAUUCGUAUUGCGACGUUAGAGGUGAAAUUCUUGGAUCGUCGCAAGACGAACUUAAGCGAAAGCAUUUGCCAAAGAUGUUUUCAUUAAUCAAGAACGAAAGUCAGAGGUUCGAAGGCGAUCAGAUACCGCCCUAGUUCUGACUAUAAACGAUGCCAGCUAGCGAUCGGCCGAAGUUCCUCCGAUGACUCGGUCGGCAGCUUCCGGGAAACCAAAGCCUUUGGGUUCCGGGGGAAGUAUGGUUGCAAAGCUGAAACUUAAAGGAAUUGACGGAAGGGCACCACCAGGAGUGGAGCUUGCGGCUUAAUUUGACUCAACACGGGAAACCUCACCAGGCCCAGACACCGGAAGGAUUGACAGAUUGAGAGCUCUUUCUUGAUUCGGUGGGUGGUGGUGCAUGGCCGUUCUUAGUUGGUGGAGCGAUUUGUCUGGUUAAUUCCGAUAACGAGCGAGACUCUAGCCUGCUAAAUAGACGUAUAAACUUGGUUUAACGAUUGAGGAUCCGGUAUUUUGGGGGUUGUCCUUCGACUACUGGCCAUUGUUUGUUUGCUUCUUGUUGAUUGACAUUUGAGUUUUAUGGAAUAACUUGUUAUCUUGCAUCUGCAAUGUAACUAGUUGUUUGUUGGCAAUCUUUACUACUGGCGUAAAUUUGUAUCUUCUUAGAGGGACAGGCGACUUCUAGUCGCACGAGAUUGAGCAAUAACAGGUCUGUGAUGCCCUUAGAUGUUCUGGGCCGCACGCGCGCUACACUGAAGGAAUCAACGUGUUUUCCCUGUCCGAAAGGUCCGGGUAAUCCGCUGAAACUCCUUCGUGCUAGGGAUUGGGGCUUGCAAUUAUUCCCCAUGAACGAGGAAUUCCCAGUAAGCGCAAGUCAUAAGCUUGCGUUGAUUACGUCCCUGCCCUUUGUACACACCGCCCGUCGCUACUACCGAUUGAAUGAUUUAGUGAGGUCUUCGGACCGGUACUCGGCCGACGUUUCGACGUCGCCGACGCUGCUGGGAAGAUGACCGAACUUGAUUAUUU
rnacentral:rRNA from 1 species